GAGGGGGAUAACGUUUGGAAACGAACGCUAAUACCGCAUGAUAUUAUUGAGCUGCAUGGCUUGAUAAUCAAAGGAGCAAUCCGCUGAAAGAUGGGCUCGCGUCCGAUUAGGUAGUUGGCGGGGCAACGGCCCACCAAGCCGACGAUCGGUAGCCGGACUGAGAGGUUGAACGGCCACAUUGGGACUGAGACACGGCCCAGACUCCUACGGGAGGCAGCAGUGAGGGAUAUUGGUCAAUGGGGGAAACCCUGAACCAGCAACGCCGCGUGAGGGAAGACGGUUUUCGGAUUGUAAACCUCUGUCCUCUGUGAAGAUGAUGACGGUAGCAGAGGAGGAAGCUCCGGCUAACUACGUGCCAGCAGCCGCGGUAAUACGUAGGGAGCAAGCGUUGUCCGGAUUUACUGGGUGUAAAGGGUGCGUAGGCGGCUUUGCAAGUCAGAAGUGAAAUCCAUGGGCUUAACCCAUGAACUGCUUUUGAAACUGCAGAGCUUGAGUGGAGUAGAGGUAGGCGGAAUUCCCGGUGUAGCGGUGAAAUGCGUAGAGAUCGGGAGGAACACCAGUGGCGAAGGCGGCCUGCUGGGCUCUAACUGACGCUGAGGCACGAAAGCGUGGGUAGCAAACAGGAUUAGAUACCCUGGUAGUCCACGCUGUAAACGAUGAUUACUAGGUGUGGGUGGACUGACCCCAUCCGUGCCGGAGUUAACA
rnacentral:rRNA from 1 species